rnacentral:rRNA from 1 species
CAGCAGCCACGGUAAUACAGAGGGUGCGAGCGUUAAUCGGAUUUACUGGGCGUAAAGCGUGCGUAGGUGGUGGUUUAAGUCCGUUGUGAAAGCCCUGGGCUCAACCUGGGAAUUGCAGUGGAUACUGGGUCACUAGAGUGUGGUAGAGGAUAGUGGAAUUUCCGGUGUAGCAGUGAAAUGCGUAGAGAUCGGAAGGAACAUCUGUGGCGAAGGCGACUAUCUGGGCCAACACUGACGCUGAGGUACGAAAGCAUGGGGAGCAAACAGGAUUAGAGACCCCCGUAGUCCCUGUCUCUUAUAC